UGACCAUAAGAAGAUGCAGCAGCAGGUUUACAUGCACAUGAGAAACCUUUCUCAGCUGAUGUGAGCACCUAGAAUACUGAUGCACACACACAAGUGGGAAUGAGCCUCGGUGCAGUGGCAGCCCUGAGCCUGUGUGAAAUCAAUUUCCUGGCAGGAAUAAGAACCCACUGUACUCACACAACUUCCAGCAGAUAGGGUGGAAUCAGAAACACAACUCUUGCUUCUUUCCAGUGGUAGCAGGUAGAAUCUGUGACAUGACACUAUCACAAAUGUACCAGCAAAAGAUUGGUUCAUCAAAUACCAUGAGAAACUAUAGCAACAAUUCAGAGAAGAGGGAAAGUUACAAAUCUCCAGACACCAACCCUGAAGUCACAGAAAUUUACAACCUAAAUGAGAGAGAAUUCAAAAUAGCUGUCAUAAAGAAACUCAAUGAGUUACAAGAAAACUCAGAAAGACAGUUCAAUGAGCUCAGGAAUAAAAUUAAUGAGAAGAAGGGAUACUUCACCACAGAGAUCAAAACUCCUGAAGAAAAACCAAGCAGAAAUUCUGGAUAUGAAGAACACAACUAAUGAGACAAAAAUAAUCUAGAAUCCUUAAAAAAUAGAUUUGACAUUAUGGAGGAAAUAUUUAGUGAUUUAGAGGAUAGAAAUAUAGAAAAGCUUCAGGUAGAGGAGGAGAGAGAACUAAGAUUAAAAAAACAUGAAAGAAUGCUUUGAGAAAUAACUGACACAAUUAGGAAAAGCAACAUAAGGAUGAUAGGUAUUCUAGAAGGAGAAGAGAGAGAAAGUAGCAGAGAGCUUGUUCAAACAAAUAAUAACUGAGAACUUCCCACACCUGGGAGAGGAACAAGACUUACAAAUACAUGAAGACAAUGGAACUCCUAAUUACAUCAAAGCUAAAAGACAUUCUCCAAGGUAUAUAAUACUAAAACUGGCAAAAGUCAACUACAAAGAAAGAAUAUUAAGGGCAGCAAUGCAGAAGAAAAUAACCUACAAAGGAACUCUUAUCAGGCUUUCAGAAAAUUUCU
rnacentral:lncRNA from 1 species